rnacentral:rRNA from 1 species
CCCUUAGAUGUUCUGGGCCGCACGCGCGCUACACUGACUGCUCCAACAAGUUACCUGGGCUGACAAGCAUCCGGGAAAUCUUGCAAAGGCAGUCGCGAUGGGGAUAGAUUCUUGUAAUUUUUGAUCUUCAACGAGGAAUUCCUAGUAAACACAAGUCAUCAGCUUGCAUUGAUUACGUCCCUGCCCUUUGUACACACCGCCCGUCGCAUCUACCGAUUGAAUGGAGAGGCAAAAUCUUCGGACCGUGACGCUUGGGAGUCAAAUCUCGGGCUGUCGUGGGAAGUGGAUUAAACCUUUCUAUUUAGAGGAAGGUAAAGUCGUAACA